rnacentral:lncRNA from 1 species
ACGUCAGUUUAGAGAUUGAUCGUUGUCAAAGUGAAGCAGAUUAUGUAAAUAGUUUAGCUUCUGAAAAAUUUGUUUUGAAGACGAAAAGAAAAUACCGGGUUGAUAUUCUUCAUUGUGAGAGCUUGGCAGCUCUUGCAACAGCAUCCCUAGAACGGUUGUUCCUUAGAGAUUGUGAUAUCAUUGUUUCUAUGAUUUCCCUUCCUUCUUCGCCUGUUUUACCU